CUCAGCAGCGCCUCUACCGGACGGCCUGGAAAACUACCAGCAGGGGCCCGUCUCCAUGGCCGACUACGGCUCCCACUACGCGUACCCGCAGCACGCCGCCUACGGCUACAGCUACAGCUCCCCCGGCGGCCUGCUGAGCAAGUGACACCCGUGCUCGUUUUUCGUACAGCAGUGUGGCGGCGCCAGCCUGACUGAGGGAGAUCAGCCGUCUGCGCAGUGGGUGUCUGCGCGGUCAGUGUCGGCGCAGUCGGCGUCUGA